rnacentral:rRNA from 1 species
GAUGAACGCUGGCGGCGUGCCUAAUACAUGCAAGUCGAGCGAACGGACGAGAAGCUUGCUUCUCUGAUGUUAGCGGCGGACGGGUGAGUAACACGUGGAUAACCUACCUAUAAGACUGGGAUAACUUCGGGAAACCGGAGCUAAUACCGGAUAAUAUUUUGAACCGCAUGGUUCAAAAGUGAAAGACGGUCUUGCUGUCACUUAUAGAUGGAUCCGCGCUGCAUUAGCUAGUUGGUAAGGUAACGGCUUAUCAAGGCAACGAUGCAUAGCCGACCUGAGAGGGUGAUCGGCCACACUGGAACUGAGACACGGUCCAGACUCCUACGGGAGGCAGCAGUAGGGAAUCUUCCGCAAAGGGCGAAAGCCUGACGGAGCAACGCCGCGUGAGUGAUGAAGGUCUUCGGAUCGUAAAACUCUGUUAUUAGGGAAGAACAUAUGUGUAAGUAACUGUGCACAGCUUGACGGUACCUAAUCAGAAAGCCACGGCUAACUACGUG